GACGAACGCUGGCGGCGUGCUUAACACAUGCAAGUCGAACGGAAAGGCCCUGCUUUUGUGGGGUGCUCGAGUGGUGAACGGGUGAGUAACACGUGAGUAACCUGCCCUUGACUUUGGGAUAACUUCAGGAAACUGGGGCUAAUACCGGAUAGGAGCUCCUGCUGCAUGGUGGGGGUUGGAAAGUUUCGGCGGUUGGGGAUGGACUCGCGGCUUAUCAGCUUGUUGGUGGGGUAGUGGCUUACCAAGGCUUUGACGGGUAGCAGGCCUGAGAGGGUGACCGGCCACAUUGGGACUGAGAUACGGCCCAGACUCCUACGGGAGGCAGCAGUGGGGAAUAUUGCACAAUGGGCGGAAGCCUGAUGCAGCAACGCCGCGUGCGGGAUGACGGCCUUCGGGUUGUAAACCGCUUUCGCCUGUGACGAAGCGUGAGUGACGGUAAUGGGUAAAGAAGCACCGGCUAACUACGUG
rnacentral:rRNA from 1 species